UUUCUACUCCCUCCGUCCGGAAAUACUUGUCAUCAAAAUGGAUAAAAAGAGAUGUAUCUAAAACUAAAAUACGUCUAGAUACAUUUCCUUUUAUCCAUUUUGAUGACAAGUAUUUCCGGACGGAGGGAGUAUUUG
rnacentral:pre_miRNA from 1 species